AUUCCAAAAAUGCUUUCAAAUAGCCUUCCAGCAGGAAUCAGCUACAUGUGAUGGAGUCCCAUCUGCUUUUACCAUGGUAGAGGUGCUCAGGGUGACGAUGUAGUUUCCUCCAUAUGUGUCUCAGGCAAACCGGAAUC